UCCUGGAGCCAUUUCAUCUCAAGAUGUGAUCUUGUCAGAUCUUAUGAGUAAAGUAGGGUUGAGCUUGGUUAGUACUUAGAUAGCAGACUUUAAAAGAAAACCCAGAGGUUUCAGGAA
ensembl:rRNA 5S_rRNA 5S ribosomal RNA